rnacentral:misc_RNA from 1 species
GAUGAAGAACGGAGCGAAAUGCGAUAAGUAAUGUGAAUUGCAGAAUUCAGUGAAUCAUCGAAUCUUUGAACGCACAUUGCGCCCGCCAGUAUUCUGGCGGGCAUGCCUGUUCGAGCGUCAUUACAACCCUCAGGCCCCCGGGCCUGGCGUUGGGGAUCGGCGGAGCCCCCCGUGGGCACACGCCGUCCCCCAAAUGCAGUGGCGGUCCCGCCGCAGCUUCCAUCGCGUAGUAGCUAACACCUCGCGACUGGAGAGCGGCGCGGCCACGCCGUAAAACACCCAACUCUUCUGAAGUUGACCUCGAAUCAGGGAGGAAUACCCGCUGAACUUAAGCAUAUCAAUAAGCGGAGGA